rnacentral:misc_RNA from 1 species
GAAAUGCGAUAAGUAGUGUGAAUUGCAGAAUUCAGUGAAUCAUCGAAUCUUUGAACGCACCUUGCGCUUCCUGGUAUUCCGGGGAGCAUGCCCGUUUCAGAAUCAUUAAAAUCUCACAAACUUUUUAUGGCUUUGCGUCAUAUAAUUGCCUUGUGGAUUUGGAUGUUUUGCCCCUGGCAAUCAUAAGAAAAAGAUUGUAUGUGUGCCAUCAGAACAAGAUUGGUCAUCAAAAGUGCAACAGAGGAAACUCCAAUCGCUUUUGGCAAUUGAUUUUGACACUGAUGGAACAUAUGCCCCAACUAUCAACAAGUGACAAACUAUCUUUGUUUGUUACUUGAUAACUUGGUCUGAAAUCGGGCAAGAAAACCCGCUGAACUUAA